rnacentral:lncRNA from 10 species
CCCAAACCCAGGUUUAACUUAUUUGAGUUUUUUUCUAUUCUUUCCUCCCUCCUUUCCUAUUGAGAUGAAUGGACAUUUGAUGUUACCAGGAAUAUGAGUAAUGACUUGGAAGUUACCAUUUGAACAAUUGACAUUCUUGAGUAAAGUAAGAAUAAACCAGAAAAAGAGAAGCAACCCAUUAAUUUCAGCAUGGAUGAACUUCAACUCCCGAUAACUUAAAGCAGGCUCAGUGGAGUUCUCUUGCUCCGUCCACCAUCUGAGAACACACUGAGAAGUUCCCAGGCUUCAACCUGAAAAAGGGCCCUCAUCAGGACCUGACCAUCAGAACUUGGCACCCCAAUCUUUGUCUUCUGAUCUACAUUGUGAUCUAAGUCAGGUAAAUACAUCUGGCAUACUUCUUUAACACCUUUAUACAAUCUCUAUGCACUGUGGUUUUAU